UCUCCGCAGAUUGGUAACCCUGAACUGGUGGAGAGCAAUUUACAGCUUGUCGUUCCCCCGUUGCGGGCAGGAGAGCUCGUUUGCCGCGGAAGCAGCUGGAGAAUGACUGCCGGAAAACCGGCCGACGUCGGAGGAGCGCCUAGCUGCCUGAGCCCAACACGAGGAUAGUGGUCAAUUACCGGGCACACGGAGAGGGUAAUAAGCCGAGUACAGCGCUCUCCCGGCCGGCACGCGAAGAGGACCGAGGGGGGUGUGCGACAAGCCGCCAGUCGUCGGCCGAGUGGCAUUCUCGGUGGACAAGGACUAUUGUCAGCCACAAAAUGCAAACCACCACCGUAUUAAAAUGUGUGCCAUGAUCCCAGUAUUUGACAUAAUAAACAACACAAUUUUUAAUCAGUUCUUCAUAAUUCCAGUGGUCCCACAGUUGUCGGACUUGUUUUGGCCAAUCACAGGGUGAAUGGGACCUUUUUACCCAAAAAGGCUCACACGCCUAUCCCUGGUGCAGCAACAAAACCUUGCAGCAUAUUUGGCUGGCGUGAUGCGAAAAAUAAACAAUUUUAUCAGCAAAAUCAGCUGAAUCCACAGUCCAUCUGCAUGCAAUAAAGCAAUGCUGUAUUGUGAGAUGCUGACCCGGGUGACAUCAAAUUCGCAUUCGUCCUUAACCCGAGACUGGAGCCGGAAGUCACUCAUUUUCAUGGCGCGGGAUUCAAAAAUUGAAUAAAUAAAACGAUCGCUUCCACACACAUCCAAGUGGUCCAUUUCAUUCAGGAGCAUAUAAUACCAUGUGAAAUAUGAAAAAAACGUGCUUUUUGCUGUCAUAGGCUGUUUAAAAAGGGAAUCGGCCGCUAGUCAGAUACAAAAGUAUGCCUCCCUCAUUGAGCUUUCAAGGGACGCGUUUUGUCCCUUAUUAGCAUCAAACUAAAAAAUUGUGUCGUAUUUGUAGAACGAACGAACACUGGUAUUGUCAGGUCAGGUCAUUUGUGGGGACACGCGUCAGGGAGGCGGUUCACUGCGUUCACCUUCGCACUCCACUGACCUACUAGUGUAGGUCUGGGCAUCGCCAUCGCAAUGUGCGAAUUUGCAAUCGUUCCAUUGCAGGACGUGAGAUUGUUUUGGUUUUUUUUUAUGUAAACUUUCGUUAUUAUUCAUAAAAACAGCAAAUGUGCAGAGACAUGGCUUCUUGGAUCCCUUUUAUAUACACCAAUCAUCACCACUCACAGAUAACCCCCCUUAGCCUGGAUUAAAUUGUAUUAUAUGAAUACUAGGGAUGUCCCGAUCGCAUAUUUUUUAAUAUGCCGAUACAGUCUCGAGUCUUGAUCCGAUACUGAAAAAAAAGUUUUUUUUGCUGUGACGCUCAUGCUGCAGAGAACAGCCACUCAUUUACACAAUGAAUGAGUUGCCACAGCACAUUUCAGACUGUGUACCAACCUUAAUGAUGAUUAACACAUCUGGGCCUUUAAUUGUAGCAUUACCGAGAUGUCUCUGGCCAGAUCAAAGCUUCAAACCUGUCAAUCAUCGUUAACCUUAAGUCACAAACGCCAGCUGCACGGGUGACCAAUAAAACCAUGAGCCCAAUUUCUGAUCAUGUGAUUGAAUCGGGACGUCUCUAAUAAAUAACCCUAACCCCAAUGUGGUCAUGGUGAGUCAACCAAAGUCUUCCCAAACAGAGCUAUUCAAGUCUGGUGAAAAUUCUUCUUGUUUUAAUAUCGCAAUAUAUCACAACCCCCCCAAAAAAUUGCAAUGUCAGUGUUUUCCAAUAUUGUUCAGCCAUACCCGCUACCUUAACAUUCACAAGAUUCUCUUUCAGCUGCUCUAGCCAACGUUUGCGCUGACGCUUCCUCGGGCGUUUCCAUCCCUUGGGUUCCCCGGCCGACAGUAUUCUGUUGGCGGGGUUCAAUGACGGAAAGCACACAACGUGGUCGAAUGGGCGCAGCUGUCAGAGUCGGAUCUGGCAAACGACACAACUCUCGCCCACCAUCUCCUGCAACGUCUUGUUUGACACGCGGUCUCGUCAUCUGAUGCCCAAGAUUUUGCGGAGAGAGUUGCACACAAACCUGAUACCGGGAACGCCAUACUGUCUUGACCAGAGAGCUCAUGGCUCCAUAGGCGAGGCCACGUCGACGAUCGACCUCUGCUUCGCAUGACGUGGAGCCAUGAACCAGACUGCGAGGUUUUGUGCACUCCGUUAAUGGUCCCUUCCCAAACUCAGAAGUGUGACGUAAAUUCCCCAAAGCAACAGAAGUCUAUCCACAGCGAGCAUAGCAGCAACAACGACAUCAGUGAUAUUUCCACCACAGUAACCAUUCAGGAUCGCUCUUUGUGACGCUAAUGAUGGCAAAGGCUCCCAGGAAAGAUGAUCAACAAUUAAUCCCUACAUGCUGGAACCUGAGGGCGUCAGAUGACGACGAUUUAUUCGGCACAGCAGACGUUCGGGAUGACGCAGGUUAAGGGCUCGACACUCAUCACGAAGGAGUGGUAGCUAUCUAGCAUCGUGAUUUCUCUCUGAACCUUUUUUUUUUUCUCAUAAACCUGUCCUGUUCAGCUGUUUGACAUGGAGAAAGAAAGUCUAAGUGUCCGGUUGGUCCGAACAGUUUUAAUGUUUCACAUUGGAGGAUGACAUACACUCAUUGUGAUCAUUCAACAUACCUCGUUUAUAAAGACAAAGGAGCGAACAGGAAGGGGUUAUGGGGGACAGAAGAAAAGAAAAGUAACACAAGAAGAGAAAGAAAAGAAAUACAAACAACAACAAGAAAUACAGUGAGCGAACUAUGAAU